rnacentral:lncRNA from 1 species
UCAGUCUCCGUAAAAAGUAGUUAGCAAAGAGGGAACAAGUCACCGCCAGACCGCCCGGACGCCAGCGGCCGGCAUGACGUCGCCGCACCACGCCUACAGAGCCACACCACACGAAUCCGACUCCAAUGAACCGUCGGCUGCCGCAGUGCGCCCUACACCACCGAACUAUGAGAGGAGGCAAGGGCCGAGGAGUGGGAGCGCCACGUCGCCGAUGGCUGACACUGCCGCUAUGACGCCCAGUGUGCGAGCCAGCAGCCAGCCACAGGCCCACAGCCAGCGCCCAGUGACGUCUUCUGGCUUUAGAGUUUGGAGGUUCAGUUCAGACUAUUAGUUCUUGCAUUGUUAGUUGGCUACUUGGCUCUGUAGCCUAUUGCAACAGUAGUAUCUAUCUACUAAUAAAAGGAACUCAUUGCCAAUUUGCCAUUAGCAAAUUUUUUCUCCUGUAAGGACAUGAUUUUUUGGUUGUUUACUCAAACGUCAAUGAACCUGAAACUGAAAGUUAUUUAUAUGUUUUAAAUUGCUUUAUAAAUAUAUCUUGGUAUGCUUUUGGUUUAUUAUAUUAUCUGU